rnacentral:ncRNA from 2 species
CGCGACAGUCGCGCUGAUGGUUUCCCGGGGGCGGCAAAGGCGGCCUGCGGGAUGAAAAGGGAACGCGGUGCGGAGGAAUCUCCAAGGCCGCGACUGCCCCCGCAACUGUAAGCGGCGAGCGCCCAUCCUCCUUGUGCCACUGGGGCCUUGAUGGCUCCGGGAAGGCAGGGAAGGGCGCAGCGACCCGCGAGUCAGGAGACCUGCCAUCAUCGUUGAAACCAU